GAUGAACGCUGGCGGCGUGCCUAAUACAUGCAAGUCGAGCGAAGCGGGGACGGGUGAGUAACACGUGGAAAACCUCCUCUAAGACUGGGAUAACUUCGGGAAACCGGAGCUAAACCGGAUACUUUAUAAUGGAUCCGCGCUGUAUUAGCUAGUUGGGAAGGUAACGGCUUAACAAGUCAACUAUGCAUAAGCGAACUGAGAGGGUGAUGUGCCACACUGGAACUGGGACACGGUCCAGACUCCUACGGGAGGCAGCAGUAGGGAACCUUCCGCAAGUGGCGAAAGCCUGACGGAGCAACGCCGCGUGAGUGAUGAAGGUCUUCGGAUCGUAAAGCUCUGUUAUUAGGGAAGCGGUACCUAAUCAGAAAGCCACGGCUAACUACGUGCCAGCAGCCGCGGUAAUUC
rnacentral:rRNA from 1 species